ACCCCUCCCGCACCGAUUUUUUUCCUCCCGUUCCGACCCACCUAUCGUCCCACUAGAUUUCCUUUCCCCCCCUACCGGUUUUCUCCUUCACAGUUUUCUCCCUCCUCUGGCUUGCAUCUCACGCCGGCGUCCAGCGCCACCGAUGCCGAUCUCCAGCCUUUGUCCGGCCCAUGGAUCCCGAUGUGGAGCUCCACUGCGGCCCGAUCUGACGUGGGAGCGGCCAGAUCCGUGCGUCUCCGCCUCGCUCCGCGCGCCUCCAUGGUCCGCCGUCUUCUCGAGCGCCGGUGCCGCGCUCAGCCGCCGCCGCCCCAUGCCAUGGUUGCCUCCCUCCAGAACGACCUGCCAUGACCGCCUCCCUGCCUCUCCCGCAAGUGGGCCUCUGCACGACCAGAUCCGUUCCUCUGCGCCUCGCUCCGCACGCCAUGAUGGUCCUCCGUCUUCCCGAGCGCCGGCGCCGUGCGCAGCCGCCGCCGCCCCAUGCCAUGGUCGCCUUCCUCCAGAACGCCGUGCCAUGGCCGCCUCCCUGCCUCUCCCGCAAGUGGGCCUCUGCGCCCCCGGCCUAGCAGAUUAAUGGAGGGCGCUGCCGACGUCGGGACAUGCCUCGGUUCACCUGCUUCCUGAUGUCCAAUUAUUUUUUGUUGUUGCUAUAUUCAACCUCAUCUCUGAAAGCCUACACCUUCCUGUGCUGUUGCUAUAUUCACAAGUUUGACAGGAGAAGGGACUGGAGGCAUACAGUAGGCAGAACAGUGGAACAAAACUCAGCUUCAAUUAAUCGACAUGGUGUUCGCAAAUGGAAAGUCGAGUUGGUGGACACAAUGGACAAUAAGCCCAUGAAGCUCCAGAAGUCCAGAUUUGGAUACGGUAUUUCCCUUUCUAUCUAAAAUCUACCAUAGAAAUUUGUACUAGCUGCAUAUACAUCAAAAGAGGUGGCACACUUGAAACUACUUCAGGAACAGUUUAGUUGUCAAAGGCAAAUAACCAUCUUUAGUGGUCGUUACAUUAAACCUAGGACGAGAUGCAUAUAGAGUUCUGUUAUGGCUACUACGAUACAGAUGUCAACGCAAAGUAUUUCCUCUUUUCUAUGAAAAGGUUUACAUUAUAAGGAUAAUCGAGUAUAAUAAUAUGGAUGAAAAUAUUGCUCUCCUGCUAGGUCUUAGAAGUUAGAAUCCACAAAGUUAGGUUAAUUAUAGUAAUUAUGACCCCACUUAUGCCUUCUCUUUACGCAUUAAGAUGUGUCGCUCCUUUAAAAAAAUAAGAUAUUGAUUCUUGUGUUUUGAAGUCUUGGAUGUGACUAAUUGUAUGACAUGCCGAUAUCUGGCGAGCUUGGUGUGUUCUGUUUUCUCACACCCACCGCUGUCGCACAAGGUGAUUGUUGGACGUGAGCGAGCUUCAGGAGCACUUCCUACAGGCUGUCGGCCGUUCACAAGUACUUCCUUUCAAGCCGAAUGGGCUCUUUAGUAAGAUGCAUCAUCUUUUUUGAAUGGAACAAGAUUGACCAUAUUGUUUGAAGUGAAAAAGAUUCAUUAUGAUCUACCCAUUACUUGAUUUGAAGUUUUCAACUGCUAGAUGUAGGAGGAGGCAGUAGUGGCUGGAAUCUUGGUGCUAAAUGACACAUACUGUCCUCACCCGAUUUCUAAGAGGAAAAAAAAACCAAAGAACAAAUACUCAUUCAAACAUUUUUUUGAUUCAGUGCUCCAUGAGCAUUUUAUCUAUCAUUUGUUUUAAAAUUUUGAGUUUUCAGGUCUAAAAUGGUUCAUCCCCUUUUGUGGUUGCAGUUUUACUGAUCUGGACACACCACCUUCUCAGGUCUAAAAUUUUGAGUUUUCAGGUCUAAAAUGUAACUGAUGUAAAGAUUUGUCCAUCCCUUGACAGAAUCCGACUUUUUUUCCAGCUGGUGCACUGAGGGAGGCGUUUGAUGUAGCAACUGCCUUUAAAAAACAAUGCCAUGAUUGAUUCAUUCCCCACUGUAUGUUCGUCCAGCAGAGGAUGCUCUUCAGUGGAAAAUUCUGAAACCUUAUUCAGCUUUGAUGUAUAGCUGGCACAGUUUGUUAAUAAUCUCUAUGAACAUUUGUACAAAUGGUGACAAAAAAGUUCUUUUAUAACCAUGGAAUCAUGACAUGGAAUGUAUUAUUAAUGUGUAUACCUUCAAUGUGGAUUAUCGAAGACUACUUUCCUUUCAUAUUCAUGCAAAAAACUUCUCCGGGAAUGUUGAAAUUUUUGCUUGUACUGUCUUUUCCUGGAGUCAUUGAAAUAUCCCCUUGCACAGAAAUUUGUUUUCUACUGAAUUUUUGUCAAGAUACUCUGGUACUAACAUUUAACUAUUUUGUAGGAAUGAAGAGCUCAAGGGAGCAAAAGGAACAAGGAGAAAGGAGCGCUCAAGAGAAGUGAACUCAAAAUCCAAGAUGCAAUCUUCACAUAGCUCACAAAUAUUAACCAGUAAACACUACUUGAUUCGUGAUGGCAUUGGACCAGACACACAACAUCCAGUUCUAUAAUAAGUAUAUUCGUGAUUGCAUUGGACCAGACACACGGAGAUGCUCGCUUGUCGUCGAGGAGUGUAGCUUGUAAUCGAAGUUGGCGCUACAAAGCUUGUUCUCAAAACCGACAACCAACUUAUGGCGCAGGUUAUUAACUCAGAUGUUAUCGACCGAUCCAGGUUUGGUCCUCUUGUCUAGGAGAUAAAGAAGAUGAUGUGAGGCAUCGACGAGUUCUGAGUGGCUUGGGCCAGGAGAAUAGCAAACAAAGCUGCUCAGAUCUUAGCUAGGGAGGGUUGCCUUUUAAAUUUAUGCAAAACUUGGUUUAGUGUUUCUACAGAUUGUAUUCAAGAUGUUGUACUGGCGGAUAAUGCCAUGAACUAAAUAAUAACAAGGCAUCAAUUUCCUUUAAAAAGUAUGUUAUCUUA